rnacentral:rRNA from 1 species
GAUGAACGCUGGCGGCGUGCCUAAUACAUGCAAGUCGAGCGAACAGACGAGGAACUUGCUCCUCUGCCGUUAGCGGCGGACGGGUGAGUAACACGUGGAUAACAAACCUAUAAGACUGGGAUACCUUCGGGAAACCGGCGCUAAUAACGGAUAAUAUAUUCAAUCGCAUGGUUCAAUAGUGAAAUACGGUUUUGCUGUCACUUAUACAUGGAUCCGCGCCGCAUUAGCUAGUUGGUAAGGUAACGGCUUACCAAGGCGACGAUGCGUAGCCGACCUAAGAGGGAGAGCGGCCACACUGGAACUGAGACACGGCCCAGACUCCUACGGGAGGCAGCAGUAGGGAAUCUUACGCAAGGGGCGAAAGCCGGACGGAGCAACACCGCGUGAGUGAUGAAGGUCUUCGGAUCGUAAAGCUCUGUAAUUAGGGAAGAACAAAUGUGUAAGUAUCUGUGCACGUCUUGACGGUACCUAAGCAGAAAGCCACGGCUAACUACGUG